AAGUCGAGGGGUAACAGAAAAGCUUGCUUUUGCUGACGACCGGCGCACGGGUGCGUAACGCGUAUGCAACCUACCUCAUACUGGAGGAUAGCCCCUGGAAACGGGGAUUAAUACUCCAUAGUAUCACAAUUUCGCAUGUUAUUGUGAUUAAAGUUUUUCGGUAUGAGAUGGGCAUGCGUCCCAUUAGCUUGUUGGUGAGGUAACGGCUCACCAAGGCAACGAUGGGUAGGGGGCCUGAGAGGGUGGUCCCCCACACUGGUACUGAGACACGGACCAGACUCCUACGGGAGGCAGCAGUGAGGAAUAUUGGUCAAUGGAGGAAACUCUGAACCAGCCAUGCCGCGUGAAGGAUGACGGCCCUAUGGGUUGUAAACUUCUUUUAUAGAGGAAGAAACUUGUCUACGUGUAGACAACUGACGGUACUCUACGAAUAAGGAUCGGCUAACUCCGUGCCAGCAGCCGCGGUAAUACGGAGGAUCCAAGCGUUAUCCGGAUUCAUUGGGUUUAAAGGGUCCGUAGGCGGAUUUUUAAGUCAGUGGUGAAAGCCGACAGCUCAACUGUCGAACUGCCAUUGAUACUGGAAAUCUUGAGUACAAAUGAAGUAGGCGGAAUGAGUCAUGUAGCGGUGAAAUGCAUAGAUAUGACUCAGAACACCGAUUGCGAAGGCAGCUUACUAACAUGUAACUGACGCUGAGGGACGAAAGCGUGGGGAGCGAACAGGAUUAGAUACCCUGGUAGUCCACGCCGUAAACGAUCAUCACUCGCUGUUGGCGAUAUACUGUCAGCGGCCAAGCGAAA
rnacentral:rRNA from 1 species